GCGUAUGUGGUCUAGUGGAUGAUGC
rnacentral:misc_RNA from 1 species